CUAUGCGCCUUGCCAGCCCGCUCAGUCAGAGUUUGAUCCUGGCUCAGAUUGAACGCUGGCGGCAGGCCUAACACAUGCAAGUCGAGCGGCAGCGGAAGGAAGCUUGCUUCCUUGCCGGCGAGCGGCGGACGGGUGAGUAAGGUAUGGGGAUCUGGCCGAAGCGGGGGAUAACCACUGGAAACGGUGGGUAAUACCGCAUAAUCUCUAAGGAGCAAAGUGGGGGACCGUUCAGGCCUCACACCUUCGGAUGAACCCCAUAUGAGAUUAGCUAGUAGGUGGGGUAAUGGCUCACCUAGGCGACGAUCUCUAGCUGGUCUGAGAGGAUGAUCAGCCACACUGGGACUGAGACACGGCCCAG
rnacentral:rRNA from 1 species